ACGAGAUAUGAUGAUGCCUAACCAUCAUUUCUGCAGUUUUAUGAUGAAUAACAACAUGCACUACCAUCUGAUCUCUA